UUUACAACUUUAAAAAAUGACUUUCUAUUCGAAAAUUAGACACUGUAUUUAUAAAAAAAAGAUACAUUCAGUUUUCAGAUCAACACAUUGUAUAAAUGGCUUUUAAUCACAACACUUCAUAUUCAAUGCCACAAACGCAAUUGCAAGGCUAUCAACCUGUUACUACGCAGCCUUCCGGAGUAGGGGGAGUCCAUACUUUAACUAAAUGGAAAUCGAAGCCUGAUCAUGCCCGUAGCUAACAACACCUCUAAUGCGUAUUCCGAGUACUAAUUGACGUUUGUGACAAUAUGGCCGUCACGGUUUGGCAAAAUCAUAAUGAAUCGAUUAAACUGCGUUA